GACGAACGCUGGCGGCGUGCUUAACACAUGCAAGUCGAACGGAAAGGCCCUGCUUUUGUGGGGUGCUCGAGUGGCGAACGGGUGAGUAACACGUGAGUAACCUGCCCUUGACUUUGGGAUAACUUCAGGAAACUGGGGCUAAUACCGGAUAGGAGCUCCUGCUGCAUGGUGGGGGUUGGAAAGUUUCGGCGGUUGGGGAUGGACUCGCGGCUUAUCAGCUUGUUGGUGGGGUAGUGGCUUACCAAGGCUUUGACGGGUAGCCGGCCUGAGAGGGUGACCGGCCACAUUGGGACUGAGAUACGGCCCAGACUCCUACGGGAGGCAGCAGUGGGGAAUAUUGCACAAUGGGCGGAAGCCUGAUGCAGCAACGCCGCGUGCGGGAUGACGGCCUUCGGGUUGUAAACCGCUUUCGCCUGUGACGAAGCGUGAGUGACGGUAAUGGGUAAAGAAGCACCGGCUAACUACGUGCCAGCAGCCGCGGUGAUACGUAGGGUGCGAGCGUUGUCCGGAUUUAUUGGGCGUAAAGGGCUCGUAGGUGGUUGAUCGCGUCGGAAGUGUAAUCUUGGGGCUUAACCCUGAGCGUGCUUUCGAUACGGGUUGACUUGAGGAAGGUAGGGGAGAAUGGAAUUCCUGGUGGAGCGGUGGAAUGCGCAGAUAUCAGGAGGAACACCAGUGGCGAAGGCGGUUCUCUGGGCCUUUCCUGACGCUGAGGAGCGAAAGCGUGGGGAGCGAACAGGCUUAGAUACCCUGGUAGUCCACGCUGUAAACGGUGGGUACUAGGUGUGGGGUCCAUUCCACGGGUUCCGUGCCGUAGCUAACGCUUUAAGUACCCCGCCUGGGGAGUACGGCCGCAAGGCUAAAACUCAAAGGAAUUGACGGGGCCCCGCACAAGCGGCGGAGCAUGCGGAUUAAUUCGAUGCAACGCGUAGAACCUUACCUGGGUUUGAUAUGGAUCGGGAGUGCUCAGAGAUGGGUGUGCCUCUUUUGGGGUCGGUUCACAGGUGGUGCAUGGCUGUCGUCAGCUCGUGUCGUGAGAUGUUGGGUUAAGUCCCGCAACGAGCGCAACCCUUGUUCACUGUUGCCAGCACGUUAUGGUGGGGACUCAGUGGAGACCGCCGGGGUCAACUCGGAGGAAGGUGGGGAUGACGUCAAGUCAUCAUGCCCCUUAUGUCCAGGGCUUCACGCAUGCUACAAUGGCUGGUACAGAGAGUGGCGAGCCUGUGAGGGUGAGCGAAUCUCGGAAAGCCGGUCUCAGUUCGGAUUGGGGUCUGCAACUCGACCUCAUGAAGUCGGAGUCGCUAGUAAUCGCAGAUCAGCAACGCUGCGGUGAAUACGUUCCCGGGGCU
rnacentral:rRNA from 1 species